CCUACGGGUGACAGCAGUGAGGAAUAUUGGUCAAUGGACGAAAGUCUGAACCAGCCAAGUAGCGUGAAGGAUGACUGCCCUAUGGGUUGUAAACUGCUUUUAUACGGGAAUAAAACGCUUCACGUGUGUGGUUUUGUAUGUACCGUAUGAAUAAGGACCGGCUAAUUCCGUGCCAGCAGCCGCGGUAAUACGGAGGGUCCGGGCGUUAUCCGGAUUUAUUGGGUUUAAAGGGAGCGUAGGUCGAAUGUUAAGCGUGUUGUGAAAUGUCGGGGCUCAACCCUGGAAUUGCAGUGCGAACUGGCGGGCUGGAGUACGCGGAAGGUAGGCGGAAUUCGUGGUGUAGCGGUGAAAUGCUUAGAUAUCACGAAGAACUCCGAUUGCGAAGGCAGCUUACUGCAGUGCAACUGACGCUGAGGCUCGAAAGUGUGGGUAUCGAACAGGAUUAGAUACCCGAGUAGUC
rnacentral:rRNA from 1 species